rnacentral:lncRNA from 1 species
UGAUACACUGAUCACAGAGCCAACGUAAACAAUUCAAUAUGCUCUCGGGCGUCUUUUUUUCGCCGUGGUGAUACACAGAUCACAGAGCCAACGUAAACAAUUCAAUAUGCUCUCGGGCGUCUUUUUCGCCGUGGUGAUACACUGAUCACAGAGCCAACGUAAACAAUUCAAUAUGCUCUCGGGCGUCUUUUUCGCCGUGGUGAUACACUGAUCACAGAGCCAACAUAAACAAU